UACGGAGGGGGCUAGCGUUGUUCGGUAUUAUUGGGCGUAAAGAGCUCGUAGGCGGUCUGUCGCGUCUGCUGUGAAAACUCGGGGCUUAACCCCGGGCCUGCAGUGGGUACGGGCAGACUAGAGUGCGGUAGGGGAGACUGGAAUUCCUGGUGUAGCGGUGAAAUGCGCAGAUAUCAGGAGGAACACCGGUGGCGAAGGCGGGUCUCUGGGCCGUAACUGACGCUGAGGAGCGAAAGCGUGGGGAGCGAACAGG
rnacentral:rRNA from 1 species